ACCUCUGGCUUUAACACAAAACCUGUUUCCCUUUAUUAAAAAUAAUGGUCUUUGUAGAGUUCAGCUGAACUCUGAAUGCUCACACGCCUGUGUCUGUCUCGUUAAGAAAUGAACUCCAUUUGAAAGAGGAAGUUAAGAAAUGGAAGGAGCGAGCGCUGAAGAUGAGAGAACAAUCGGGAGUCACUAGCGAAGAACAGAGAGUGACAUCUCCAAGGAAAACAGCCCCUCCCUUAUUGGCAGGGCCAUCUUCCUCUCCUUCUAAGGAACGCUCUGUUCGACCUCCUCCAGUGUUUCGUGAACCGCCACGUUUGGGGGCCUUCAGCGGUGUAAGUUUUGCAGGUGGCGAUUCUAAAGAAAGAACAGUUCCAGAAAAUACCCUGAGACCCUGGAUCGAAAAAGCAAAGGAAAAACUAAAAAAAGAGGGCAAUCCUGAUUGCAAGACCCAGUAACCCCCUGCCCCCUUGGAACUUUGUUCAGUGUUUUAACUGAUUUUUAUCUUGAAUGUCCAUGUUAUAAAUAAAGGACUGUUUUGUGCAAGCA